GACGAACGCUGGCGGCGUGCUUAACACAUGCAAGUCGAACGGAAAGGCCCUGCUUUUGUGGGGUGCUCGAGUGGCGAACGGGUGAGUAACACGUGAGUAACCUGCCCUUGACUUUGGGAUAACUUCAGGAAACUGGGGCUAAUACCGGAUAGGAGCUCCUGCUGCAUGGUGGGGGUUGGAAAGUUUCGGCGGUUGGGGAUGGACUCGCGGCUUAUCAGCUUGUUGGUGGGGUAGUGGCUUACCAAGGCUUUGACGGGUAGCCGGCCUGAGAGGGUGACCGGCCACAUUGGGACUGAGAUACGGCCCAGACUCCUACGGGAGGCAGCAGUGGGGAAUAUGGCACAAUGGGCGGAAGCCUGAUGCAGCAACGCCGCGCGCGGGAUGACGGCCUUCGGGUUGUAAACCGCUUUCGCCUGUGACGAAGCGUGAGUGACGGUAAUGGGUAAAGAAGCACCGGCUAACUACGU
rnacentral:rRNA from 1 species